rnacentral:rRNA from 1 species
AGAGUUUGAUCCUGGCUCAGGACGAACGCUGGCGGCGUGCUUAACACAUGCAAGUCGAACGGAAAGGCCCUUCGGGGUACUCGAGUGGCGAACGGGUGAGUAACACGUGGGUGAUCUGCCCUGCACUCUGGGAUAAGCCUGGGAAACUGGGUCUAAUACCGGAUAGGACCACACACUUCAUGGUGAGUGGUGCAAAGCUUUUGCGGUGUGGGAUGAGCCCGCGGCCUAUCAGCUUGUUGGUGGGGUAAUAGCCCACCAAGGCGACGACGGGUAGCCGGCCUGAGAGGGUGACCGGCCACACUGGGACUGAGAUACGGCCCAGACUCCUACGGGAGGCAGCAGUGGGGAAUAUUGCACAAUGGGCGCAAGCCUGAUGCAGCGACGCCGCGUGAGGGAUGACGGCCUUCGGGUUGUAAACCUCUUUCAGCACAGACGAAGCGCAAGUGACGGUAUGUGCAGAAGAAGGACCGGCCAACUACGUGCCAGCAGCCGCGGUAAUACGUAGGGUCCGAGCGUUGUCCGGAAUUACUGGGCGUAAAGAGCUCGUAGGUGGUUUGUCGCGUUGUUCGUGAAAACUCACAGCUUAACUGUGGGCGUGCGGGCGAUACGGGCAGACUUGAGUACUGCAGGGGAGACUGGAAUUCCUGGUGUAGCGGUGGAAUGCGCAGAUAUCAGGAGGAACACCGGUGGCGAAGGCGGGUCUCUGGGCAGUAACUGACGCUGAGGAGCGAAAGCGUGGGGAGCGAACAGGAUUAGAUACCCUGGUAGUCC